rnacentral:rRNA from 1 species
CCCUUAGAUGUCCUGGGCUGCACGCGCGCUACACUGAUGUGUCCAGUAAGCACCUAACCUAUUCCGAGAGGAGCGGGUAACCUUAGCAAAGCACAUCGUGAUGGGGAUAGAUUAUUGCAAUUAUUAGUCUUGAACGAGGAAUUCCUAGUAAGCACAAGUCAUCAGCUUGUGUUGAUUACGUCCCUGCCCUUUGUACACACCGCCCGUCGCUCCUACCGAUUGAAUGUUCCGGUGAGCUCUUCGGACUGCGCGGUCUGCAGUUUCUGCGUUCCGUGCGGAAAGUUGUGCAAACCUUAACAUUUAGAGGAAGGAGAAGUCGUGACA